AUUGAACGCUGGCGGCAGGCCUAACACAUGCAAGUCGAACGGUAACAGGAAGAAGCUUGCUUCUUUGCUGACGAGUGGCGGACGGGUGAGUAAUGUCUGGGAAACUGCCUGAUGGAGGGGGAUAACUACUAGAAACGGUAGCUAAUACCGCAUAACGUCGCAAGACCAAAAAGGGGGACCUUCGGGCCUCUUGCCAUCGGAUGUGCCCAGAUGGGAUUAGCUAGUAGGUGGGGUAACGGCUCACCUAGGCGACGAUCCCUAGCUGGUCUGAGAGGAUGACCAGCCACACUGGAACUGAGACACGGUCCAGACUCCUACGGGAGGCAGCAGUGGGGAAUAUUGCACAAUGGGCGCAAGCCUGAUGCAGCCAUGCCGCGUGUAUGAAGAAGGCCUUCGGGUUGCAAAGUACUUUCAGCGGGGAGGAAGGGAGUAAAGUUAAUACCUUUGCUCAUUGACGUUACCCGCAGAAGAAGCACCGGCUAACUCCGUG
rnacentral:rRNA from 1 species